rnacentral:rRNA from 1 species
ACGCUCGACACCUAGGAGGCAGCAGUGAGGAAUAUUGGUCAAUGGGCGCAGGCCUGAACCAGCCAAGUAGCGUGAAGGAUGACUGCCCUAUGGGUUGUAAACUUCUUUUAUAUGGGAAUAAAGUUUUCCACGUGUGGAAUUUUGUAUGUACCAUAUGAAUAAGGAUCGGCUAACUCCGUGCCAGAGCCGCGGUAAUACUGAGCGGGCGUGGCGAAGGCG